GAUGAACGCUGGCGGCGUGCCUAAUACAUGCAAGUCGAGCGAACAGACGAGGAGCUUGCUCCUCUGACGUUAGCGGCGGACGGGUGAGUAACACGUGGAUAACCUACCUAUAAGACUGGGAUAACUUCGGGAAACCGGAGCUAAUACCGGAUAAUAUAUUGAACCGCGUGGUUCAAUAGUGAAAGACGGUUUUGCUGUCACUUAUAGAUGGAUCCGCGCCGCAUUAGCUAGUUGGUAAGGUAACGGCUUACCAAGGCGACGAUGCGUAGCCGACCUGAGAGGGUGAUCGGCCACACUGGAACUGAGACACGGUCCAGACUCCUACGGGAGGCAGCAGUAGGGAAUCUUCCGCAAUGGGCGAAAGCCUGACGGAGCAACGCCGCGUGAGUGAUGAAGGUCUUCGGAUCGUAAAACUCUGUUAUUAGGGAAGAACAAAUGUGUAAGUAACUAUGCACGUCUUGACGGUACCUAAGCAGAAAGCCACGGCUAACUACGU
rnacentral:rRNA from 1 species